GCCCGCCUAGCUCAAUCGGAUAGAGCGUCAGACUCUUAUGCGGGUGUUGAUCACAUUCCAUGGUGAUCUGAAGGCUGCGAGUUCGACCCUCGCGGUGGGCU